AUACUGUAGAAGUGCCGAUUGCCUCCGCGCCGCUCGCUCGCGCGUGCCGAAGAAGAAGGUUCGCUCGCCCAUGACGGAACGCGACGGGAGGUAGCUCGCCUGUUCCGUCAGGCUCCCUCGCGUCGGCCUCCGCCGCCGCUCACUCGCCCACGCCGGAGGAAGAAGGUGGUAGCCCGGGGGCGCGUCAGGAGGAGGGUGCCGCGGGCGGCCUCCGCCGCCGCCUACUCCCGCGUGCCCACCUCUCCACUGAUAAUUGCGGUUCCAGUCGAUUCGGGGUCCCGUUGGCGAGCGGCGAGCGGGACGAGCGUAGGCGGCGGCGGCUUCUGUCGGAUUUCCGGCGGCGAGUGGUCGGCGGCGGCUGUGCUGCGGCGUUCGACGACGACGGAAGGGGCGACAAGCAGCUUACCGCGAGCUCGGUUCUGAUUUUGACGGCGCGACCGUCCACGGAGGAGCAGACCCGAGCCCCUGAUAUCCACCGGCGGCAGCAGCCGUCUCUCUCUCUCCCUCCCUCAGGCCAAGAGCAUACAGGUGAUUCUCUCUCCUCCGGUGAAGAAGCUCGUCCCAGUGGUUAAAUCUCCUCCGGCGAAGCCAACUCUCCCUCCACUUCACCCCGGUCGGCAGCGGCUUCGCACGACUCGACCGUCGAGGGGCCCUCCUGCACCUGCAGCACGACCUCCGACCCCCUGAGCCGCUGCCCUGCCGCCGACCGCAGGUCCUCAUCUUCCCUUCACCGACGUGUUCGACGAGCUGCACGACCGCCCGCACUCAUCCAUUGUUAAGGGUGCUUAUGCUUAUGAUAUCAAUGGGAAAAAGUAUAUAGAUGCUCUUGCGGGACUGUGGUGUACAGCUCUAGGUGGUAACGAACCUCGACUUGUGAAAGCUGCAACAGACCAAUUAAACAAAUUAUCCUUCUACCAUUCGUUCUGGAAUCGUACUACCAAACCCUCACUGGAUCUUGCAAAUGAUAUUCUGAACAUGUUCACUGCAAGGGAAAUGGGAAAGGUAUUCUUCACAAAUAGCGGUUCAGAAGCAAAUGACUCUCAGACCACAUGACCAUCAGUGUGUUUCGUGCGAGCUCGACGAAUAAGUGAACCUUUUCCUCCAGUGAGUUCUUGCUCCAAUGGGUUCGCUGCUGGUGAAAUCUCCUCCACCUCCUGCUCCAGUGAGCUCUUCCCCUGCAUCACCGCCUCUCCGCCAGUAAAACUGCAUGUGCAAUGAAGGUUACAGGCAAAACUCCCGAUAAAGUAAAAAAAAAUCAAUAUACAAGGGAGCCAGGAUUCAGCUUCGUUUCAUUUUGCUGCUCCUGUACUUGCCGCCUGCCACCGCAGACGCCACCCGCAACAUCAUCAAUUGGAGUUGAUGACAAAGGACUAGGGAUGUCCUUGUCAAUCUUUUUGCAAGAAUAACACUGAUGUGUUAUAAAGGUUUACCAGAUGUAUCAAGCAUUUCAAACAUAAUAAAUUACAUCGAGGUCGUUGGACCACCGAACGAGUUUUACCGCUGCCAAAACAAGCUGACGAUGUGUCACUAUCAUGGCUCGCCUACCGGAGCUGUAUAUGAACGCCGAGAAGUACUCAUGCUCGUGCCCUAAGGACCAACGGCCUGGAGUUGUAGUGGUCGUUAUCGAACCCUUGAAAUGAUUUGAACAAGGUGACACCGAAUCUCACUAGCACGCAUGCACGGCAAAUAAAAACCCUAACCACGUCUCUCAGAGGGGACAACAUGAGUCUCCGAGGGUGUAUCUAUAGUAAUUUAUGGUGUUUAAAUGCUUUAGAAACUUAUAAGAAAAGAUUAAUGUAAUAUAAAAAUGUAAAUCCUGUUAUUAGAAAUUGUAGGAAAUACUUAUAAUUAUCCAA